GACGAACGCUGGCGGCGUGCUUAACACAUGCAAGUCGAACGAAGUGGCGAACGGGUGAGUAACGCGUAAUCAACCUGCCCUUCAGAGGGGGACAACAGUUGGAAACGACUGCUAAUACCGCAUACUGAAGGAGGGGAUUGCGUCUGAUUAGCUAGUUGGAGGGGUAACGGCCCACCAAGGCGAUGAUCAGUAACCGGUCUGAGAGGGAGAGCGACCACAAUGGGACGGAGACACGGCCCAGAAUGCGACGGGGGGCAGCAGGGGGUAAUCUGCCGCAAAGGACGAAAGUCUGACGGAACAACGCCGCGUGAGUGAUGACGGCCUUCGGGUUGUAAAGCGCUGUUAAUCGGGACGCGGUACCGGAAUAGAAAGCCACGGCUAACUACGUGCCAGCAGCCGCGGUAAUAC
rnacentral:rRNA from 1 species